rnacentral:rRNA from 1 species
UACGUAGGUGGCAAGCGUUGUCCGGAUUUAUUGGGGUUUAAAGGGUGCGUAGGCGGUCCUAUAAGUCAGUGGUGAAAUACGGCAGCUCAACUGUCGAGGUGCCAUUGAUACUGUAGGACUUGAGUACAGACGAGGUAGGCGGAAUUGACGGUGUAGCGGUGAAAUGCUUAGAUAUCGUCAAGAACACCGAUAGCGAAGGCAGCUUACUAGACUGUAACUGACGCUGAGGCACGAAAGUGUGGGGAUCAAACAGG